UUCCAUCUUACCAUUUUAAAAUAUUAGUAGUCAGCAAAAAAUCAAGAAACAGACUUAAAAUUCAAGCGUGUUUCUUCCUUUCGCCCGGAUCACUGAAACAACAGAAGCCUUCGCCAGUAUGUACCAGACCCCUACAAUUAACCAACCAUUACGCGGUUAUAAUCCUUUUCCUGCCCAUCCAGUGUACGGAGAAUUCCCCGCGGACAUUUGUUGCCCAUAUUGCCAGACUAGAGUGUUUACUGUUACCACAAAAGAGGAUGGAAAUCUAACUUACUGUGCAGCCAGUUUGCUGUGUUUUAUGGGGUGUUGGUUUGGCUGCUGCCUCAUUCCUUUUUGCAUUGACUCUUGUAAAGACAUCAUUCACACAUGUCCCAACUGCAGAGCACCUGUGGGGAAAUUCAACAGGCUUUGUUGAACCAUAGAGAAGACUGGAUCAAACCUCAAAAUAAAGAAAUGACAACUCCG